UACGUAGGGCGCAAGCGUUGUCCGGAAUUAUUGGGCGUAAAGAGCUCGUAGGUGGUUUGUCGCGUUGUUCGUGAAAACUCACAGCUUAACUGUGGGCGUGCGGGCGAUACGGGCAGACUGGAGUACUGCAGGGGAGACUGGAAUUCCUGGUGUAGCGGUGGAAUGCGCAGAUAUCAGGAGGAACACCGGUGGCGAAGGCGGGUCUCUGGGCCGAUACUGACGCUGAGGAGCGAAAGCGUGGGGAGCGAACAGG
rnacentral:rRNA from 1 species